GACGAACGCUGGUGGCGUGCUUAACACAUGCAAGUCGUACGGUAAGGCCCUUUCGGGGGUACACGAGUGGCGAACGGGUGAGUAACACGUGAGUAACCUGCCCACAACUUUGGGAUAACGCUAGGAAACUGGUGCUAAUACUGGAUAUGUGCUCCUGCUGCAUGGUGGGGGUUGGAAAGCUCCGGCGGUUGUGGAUGGACUCGCGGCCUAUCAGCUUGUUGGUGGGGUAGUGGCCUACCAAGGCGGCGACGGGUAGCCGGCCUGAGAGGGUGACCGGCCACAUUGGGACUGAGAUACGGCCCAGACUCCUACGGGAGGCAGCAGUGGGGAAUAUUGCACAAUGGGCGCAAGCCUGAUGCAGCAACGCCGCGUGCGGGAUGACGGCCUUCGGGUUGUAAACCGCUUUCAGCAGGGACGAAGCUUUUUGUGACGGUACCUGCAGAAGAAGCACCGGCUAACUACGUG
rnacentral:rRNA from 1 species